UACGUAGGGUGCAAGCGUUGUCCGGAAUUAUUGGGCGUAAAGAGCUCGUAGGCGGUCUGUCGCGUCGGCUGUGAAAUCCCGAGGCUCAACCUCGGGUCUGCAGUCGAUACGGGCAAACUGGAGUACUGCAGGGGAGACUGGAAUUCCUGGUGUAGCGGUGAAAUGCGCAGAUAUCAGGAGGAACACCGGUGGCGAAGGCGGAUCUCUGGGCCGAUACUGACGCUGAGGAGCGAAAGCGUGGGGAGCGAACAGG
rnacentral:rRNA from 1 species